CCNAAGGCUAAAUACUCCUGACUGACCGAUAGUGAACCAGUACCGUGAGGGAAAGGCGAAAAGAACCCCUGUGAGGGGAGUGAAAUAGAACCUGAAACCGUCUACGUACAAGCAGUGGGAGCCCCAUCACUAAGACACUUCAUCUUAGUGAGACGCUAUCACUUUGUUGAUUGGGUUAACCACGCGMAGCGUGGGUCAACCGCCCAAUCMAGCAGAGGUGACUUAGUGAUGGGGUGACCGCGUACCUUUUGUAUAAUGGGUCAGCGACUUAAUGUAAGUAGCCAGGUUAACCGYAUAGGGGAGCCGUAGGGAAACCGAGUCUUAACUGGGCGACAGUUGCUUGCAUUAGACCCGAAACCGAGUGAUCUAGCCAUGGGCAGGUUGAAGGUUGAGUAACAUCAACUGGAGGACCGAACUCACUAACGU
rnacentral:rRNA from 1 species